UAUUAUUAUUAUUAUUAUUAUUAUUAUUAUUCCCCAAAGGGAGACUAUGGCAGCCCUAUGAACUGUAAGUAGGAAAAUUCUUAAAUUUGGUACACUCAUAGAUAUUACCAUGAAUAGUAUCUGAACCAAUUAUGGGGUCUCUAGGACAAACUCUAUAGCACCACAAACUAGUUAGAAAAUUCACUUUUCAAAUGGCUAUAAUUGUUGAACACUUUGUCCAAGAGAAAAUUCAUCAGAAUACUCUCCUCAUGGUGCUUACAUUCCAUAUCUUACAUUAAGACUCCACCCAUUACAGUAGUCACCAUUUUGCAAUGUACAGUAUUCAAGCUUCAGUUCUAAAGAUACAGGGUUCAAUGCCCAUCUGGUGUCAGAUCUUUUUAUAAAAAAAUUUAAUAAUAAUAAUUUUAAAAAAAGUGUCUAAUCUUGCGUCAGUCGGUUCCUUUCUUUUGUGGCUUAGCAUUGCAAUAACCUUUCAACCUCUUGGCAUGCAAAUAAAUGCCUCUGUUCUGUUCAUAUCUUGUUCAAUCUUAUUCUCAGAUGUGCUUCUCAACCUCUCGUUAUUCAUUCAUGUACAUUCCAUUUCUUCUGUUCUUCAGGCUCCACAUUACGCUUGCUGCGCCUUUGGGGCUUGGCCCUGUUAAUCGCUGCUUGCAGCUAUAUUUAUCAUUAUUAUCAUUAUUAUCAUUAUUAUCAUCAUUAUUAUUAUUAUUAUACACUUAUUAUUGCGUACCUCUAAAUAUUCAGUUUGAUUAAUCAUACUUUCCUAAUUGUUGUUGAUGUUAACAAACGCAGAUUAAAACAAGUGUCGGUCACAGAGCAAAUGCAAGUCAUCCACCUGAAAUACCACUAAACUGUAUGUGUACAACCCUCCUGACUUGGUCUAUACAAGUUAAAUAACUUGUGAGAGCACAUCGUGCAAGUUAAAUAUAUAAAAAGCAUAAUGACAGGACUGGCUACUUUAAAUCAGUGGAACCAUACAAGUUCAUCAUUCCUGAUGGAGACAGAGUGGCUUAUACAAUAAUAUUGAUCUGAGCAGUAAUGUAUUCUGUUUAAUGGUGCUUUCUUGUGUGAAAUUGAGAUGUCUGAACAGCAAGAUCAUAUUCAGACUUUAGGGGUGUAACGAUACAGCCUUCUGACAUGUAGCCUCCGCCUACGGCCUUCGUAUUGUUCGAUAGAAUGUUCUCAAUUCUAUACACAAUAUACGCAAGGUGGUAUAAACAUUUAAACCUAUUAAUCAAGGCUACUGUCUUCUCUGAAAAAGUAACAGCCUCUAUCUCAAAACAAAAAUGCAACACUCCUAAUAACUCCUUGUUGUCGAUGUUUUAAAUCCGCAUCUGAAGUAAAAUGCGAAUCAAUUUAUAACAUUUUUGACAUGCGUUUUUCUGGAUUUUUUUUGUUGUUAUUCGGUCUCUCACUGUUCAAAUAAAUCUACCAUUAAAAUUAUAGAAUGAUCAUUUCUUUGUCAGUGGGCAAACGUACAAAAUCAGUACAGUGAGGGAUCAAAUACUUUUUUCCCUCACUGUACAGGCAAAGCUAAUUGGCGCUGUAUCAAAAAGCAUAUUGGAGAUUCCACUGUAUCGUAUUAAAUUAGAAUCUGUAUGUUGUUACACACCUAUUCGACCUAUAUAUCACUAAAGCAACAUUCUUACAUUGAGAAAAUCACAAUUAUUGCGGUUAAAAUGACAAUAAAAGAGUUUUAAAAAUAAAACAAUAAAAUAAAGCAGAGUUGUAAAAUGCGCCUCUGUUGUUUCAUGGUAGAGGUGAGUCAGGGAAAAAGAAAGAACACUGUCCUUCAAUACUAUGUUUUUAUUUAUCAGAGCCUAAACAACAAUUGUGUGGUUCUCUCACCAACUUCUCAAACAAACACAAUAACCUCAAAUUUCAAUAUGUACCAAGAUUAUUUAGAAACCAGGUGGGGAGAUUAAGUACACCCUUCUACAUCCACAAUCAUUAAGAGCGUAGUUAGCAGGUGUUGAAAUGAAAUGCCCAAGAUUAGUUAAUCAUCAAGAAGUUUGACUACCUACAUAUAAGUAGCACUUUUGGCAGUUUGAUGUUCUUGAGCACUCAAGUCUGACUCUACAUCAUGCCUAUAAGAAAGGACAUCUGCGAUGACAUCAGAGAAGCAAUUAUUGCUGCUCAUCAAUCUGGGAAGGGUUAUAAGGACAUCUCCAAACAAUUUGAAAUUCAGCAUUCUAUAGUGAGAAGAAUUGUUGAAAUGGAGAGCAAUUAAGAUAGCUGCCAAUCUUCUCAGGAGUGGGAGUCCCAGAAAAUUCAGCCGAAGGUCAGACCGUUAACAGCCAGAGAUAUAAAGAAAAACCCACAUCAUAAGACCUACAGGCUUCUGUAAGCACACUAAAUGUAAUGUUCAUGACAGAUCAAUCAGAAAAAGACCGAACAAGUAUGGCUUUCAUGGAAGGGUGGCUAGGAAAAGGCCUCUUCUGUCCAAAAGGAAUACGGCAACAUGACUUAGGUUUGCACAAUUGCAUCUGAGCAAACCACAAACGUUCUGGAACAAUAUCAUUUGGACUGAUGAGGGCUAGGUGGAGAUGUUGAGUCAUCAUGCACCAUGUUUGGCACUGUGAGUACUACUAAUUUAUGGUUUCUGGGAUGAUGCUUCUUAUCUGGUUAUGUCUAAAAUGAACGAACAUUCGUUCAUUCACUUAUUCACAAAAGAAACAACUUUAAACCAUUAUAUAUUGGUUCUGACUACAAUUGAAAUGUUAUAUUUUGGUACAAGUUGCUGGAGUAAAUCUUUUGGAAAUGGAAACUUCCGUUACAAAUAUUGUACUCCAUCAGCCUUAAACUCAUGUCAAACUCACGUCCAAAUUCAUCCAAAACAAAAACGUGGAGUGAAAUUUCCUUGCAAUGGUUUACAAAAUGGAUUAAAAGUCUUGAGAGUUUUCCACUUCGCCUUGAAGCUUCAUAGUCCACCUCACUACAGCAUGGUAUCGUUGAACUGAUUAACCACCACACACUUCCCAGAAGCUUAAUACUCAUUCGCGGAAUCUAACACACAAUAGCCUGCAUGUUCUUGUUGGAGUCACACGACAGAUAGAUUAAACAAGAGUCAGAGUCCAUAUAGGCCGUAUUUCUACGUAUUUUUACGCAGGUAAACAGUAAGUGGUGUCAUUGUGCACGUGGACGAAGAAGCUAAACAACCGUCCCAUUCAUUUUUCGAAACAAGUUCUGGAUUAACUCAACUCUACAAGAGAGAGAGAGAGAGAAAGCAACAGGUGUCUUUCACUUAAAGCAACAAUACUCAAUUAUGCAUGAAAAAAAAUUUAAGAAUUAUUGAUUAAUUACACAGUAAGCUACUCACCUCAUUUUCCUCUUAUAAUAAUUAUUUUAUCCAGGUGGAUUUUCUCAAAUCAAUAUUAGAACAAUUUGAACAGUACAUGCCUCUCCCUCUACAUAGUUUAAUAAUAAAAUGCAAUGACUUUUGUUGAUUUUAACUGAUUUCAAGUCAAAGCAAACUUCAGGAAGACACUAAAUGAAGCUUAUUCGUGGUUAGAGGGUUUUAUGGGCAAAAGAAUAAUUUAAAUACAAUUAAAGGGGGAGUUGGGGGUUUAUCAUGAUUCUUGAAUGUAUUUCUACGGUACACAGUUUUGCAAACAAACGUCCAGCAAUAGAGUAAGUAAUGUUAUUUAAAAAAAAAAAAAAAAAAUGAACUUUUUUAUUAUUAUUUCUGCUCAUUUUAAUAUAUUUACAAUAAAUUGGUUUUUAUGUGUUUUUUGCAUAUAUUUUAAUGUUUAUAUAUUUUAAUAUACUUCAAUAUUUGAUUUUUUUAAUUACUUGUAUAAAAGUAUAUAACGGACAGGUAUUGAACAUGAAUGAUCAAAAAUAUUUCUGAACACUAUAACUACUUUGAACGAGAGAACUAGGCUGCAAUAAUGUGGACUAUUUUAAAUGUAAACUCUUGCAUUCCAUUAGUUUUUUGCGUUCGAAAAACCAUCCGCAUACGAAUUAUGUAAAUUGGGACGAGUGGUGCAUCAUAAAAGUUACUUUUAAAAAAAAUCAUAAAAGUUAUGAAAAGUAAUUAAAAAGUACCAAAACACAAAAGCGAAAAAAUCUAUCUAUUAAAAACAGAUUAUAGAUUAAGUUAUAUAUAGAUAGAUUUUAUAUAGAAUAGAUAAUUAUUAAUACCUGG
ensembl:lncRNA